UCUUGGUGAAAAUUUAUUUGUUAUUUUUUAAGAUUAUAAAUAAUGCUGUCAUAUCCUGCUUUUUAUUUAAAGCCUUGCAUAUAUUUUGUUUAUAUUGCCAAUAGGAUAAAUUCUGAAAUAUGAAAUUACUAUGAGUCAAAGAUAUUAGGUAAGAUCUGACCCAAAGGGAAAAAUCUACUACAUUAUAGGGAGGCAAAUAUUCAAUUAAUUAAUAGUUCUAUAAAAUAUAUUUGGCCAGUGGGUUUGAAAAUUUAUAAUAUUAUGGUUGCAUAUUCUUGGAAGCAUUCUGUAUGGGACAUAAAGUCCUAAAUUUGUGGAUUUAGGAAACUGUGCCUUGUAUAAUAAGAUAUAUGAAGUAUAAACAAUAGAAUUGGAGGAAGCCACAAUGUUUACAUUCCUAAAACUACAAGUGAGCCAAAAAAAAAAAAAAAACACCCUGGGAGUACCAGUCAUUGGUGUGAGGGUUGGCUGGAAUUAAGUUUUGCAGUUACCACACCAACCCCCUUUUUGUUUUAAUGGACUAUAAUUUGAAAAAAUCCAUAUGCAAAAUGAAGUCAUCAAGGAUGAAACACCAUCACCUGACUCUGGAAAAGAGAUCUCAUUCAAUGACUUUGAAAGGUAUAUGUACCAGGAAUUCAGGAUGAGAGAAAAAAAUACACUUGGAAUGGAAUAAAGGAGAAUAUCCUGAGCCUAAAAACCCAAUGGGUAAUUGUAUAUUCACACUGAUUGAUGUUCUGGAGGUAAUUCUACCUGGAAUGCACUGGGAGAUAGUAGUACUCAUUCUCCUUUUGACUUCUGGGACCUGAUGUGGAUUACUGUAUCUCACUGUCACCAAGGAGGUCAAAUCUAUCCAAUAGUUAUAGGACAGGGAGCCGGUGAUGGAUCGAACACUUGAACACAUUUCCUGCAUUUUAGCUAAUAAUUUUUCUUAAAGUUUCUACCAAUUUAUACACGAGAACUAAAUAUUAUUUUAUUAUUUGCUAAAGUAGAUAAUAAAAAAUAAUGCUUCUUAUUUUAAUCAUUACUUUUUU
rnacentral:lncRNA from 1 species